UCAGCACGAUGUGCUCAUCACUGACUGUAAAAACACAACUCUGGGCUCCUCAGAGUGAAACUCUGCAUCAGAGUUGGGGCCAGGGAGGAAUUUCCCAGAGGUCGCAAUGAUGGGGCUUUUUUUCUCUUUCUUUGUGGGCAUUUCCCCAGAGCCUAAAAUACAGAAUAAAACCCACAAAUACAGUGUAACAACAGGAAGAAAGACGCAAGAAGCCUAACAGCCUUGGGUUCGUCCACACAAAAUGCUGCAUGGAUUUGUCACGUGAAUGCAUUUAAUGAGCCACUGAGAAUGUGCAUUUGGCAAUAAUCACCUUUUAGAAGAACUAACAAAUGCUCAACAAGCUGCUUGUUAAAGACAGAGCUUCCGAUGUGGUGAGAACACAGACGU